CCUACGGGAGGCUGCAGUGGGGAAUAUUGGACAAUGGGGGGAACCCUGAUCCAGCCAUGCCGCGUGUGUGAAGAAGGCCCUCGGGUUGUAAAGCACUUUCAGUGAGGAAGAACGCCUGGUGGUUAAUACCCAUCAGGAAAGACAUCACUCACAGAAGAAGCACCGGCUAACUCCGUGCCAGCAGCCGCGGUAAUACGGAGGGUGCGAGCGGUAAUCGGAAUUACUGGGCGUAAAGCGCGCGUAGGUGGCUUGAUAAGCCGGUUGUGAAAGCCCCGGGCUCAACCUGGGAACGGCAUCCGGAACUGUCAAGCUAGAGUGCAGGAGAGGAAGGUAGAAUUCCCGGUGUAGCGGUGAAAUGCGUAGAGAUCAGGAGGAAUACCAGUGGCGAAGGCGGCCUUCUGGACGGACACUGACACUGAGGUGCGAAAGCGUGGGUAGCAAACAGGAUUAGAUACCCUAGUAGUC
rnacentral:rRNA from 1 species